rnacentral:rRNA from 1 species
UGGGGAAUAUUGCACAAUGGGGGGAACCCUGAUGCAGCAACGCCGCGUGAGUGAAGGAGUCAUCCGUGAUGUAAAGCUCUAUCAGCAGGGAAGAAAAUGACGGUACCUGAGUAAGAAGCCCCGGCUAACUACGUGCCAGCAGCCGCGGUAAUACGUAGGGGGCAAGCGUUAUCCGGAUUUACUGGGUGUAAAGGGAGCGUAGACGGCCAGGCAAGUCUGAAGUGAAAGCCCAGUGCCCAACACUGGGACUGCUUUGGAAACUGCCAGGCUGGAGUGCAGGAGGGGUAAGUGGAAUUCCUAGUGUAGCGGUGAAAUGCGUAGAUAUUAGGAGGAACACCAGUGGCGAAGGCGGCUUACUGGACUGUAACUGACGUUGAGGCUCGAAGGCGUGGGGAGCAAACAGG